rnacentral:rRNA from 1 species
GACGAACGCUGGCGGCGUGCUUAACACAUGCAAGUCGAACGGAAAGGCCCUGCUUUUGUGGGGUGCUCGAGUGGCGAACGGGUGAGUAACACGUGAGUAACCUUCCCUUGACUGUGGGAUAACUUCAGGAAACUGGGGCUACUACCGGCUAGGAGCUCCUGCUGCAUGGUGGGGGUUGGAAAGUUUCGGCGGUUGGGGAUGGACUCGGGGCUUAUCAGCUUGUUGGUGGGGUAGUGGCUUACCAAGGCUUUGACGGGUAGCCGGCCUGGGAGGGUGACCGGCCACAUUGGGACUGAGAGACGGACCAGACUCCUACGGGAGGCAGCGGGGGGGAAUAUUGCACAAUGGGCGGAAGCCUGAUGCAGAAACGCCGCGUGCGGGAUGACGGCCUUCGGGUUGUAAACCGCUUUCGCCUGUGACGAAGCGUGAGUGACGGUAAUGGGUAAAGAAGCACCGGCUAACUACGUG